AGGGGAAUGCGCAUAAAAUCAUGGAGAAGUGUACACUACCACUGACAGGAAAGCAGUGCGUCAACCGCAUCAUUACAGAAAAGGGUGUGUUUGACGUGGACAAGAAAAACGGGUUGACAUUGAUCGAGCUUUGGGAAGGCCUGACUGUUGAUGACAUCAGGAAGAGCACAGGCUGUGACUUUGCAGUUUCACCAAACCUCAUGCCAAUGCAGCAGAUCUCAACUUGAAGUGUCAAUUGGACAUUUGCCCCAGGCUGCUAAGAUUUCAUUUUCAACAAAUAGGAUUUAAUUGAAAGGAUGUCAGUAAUCAACAGUUACACAUUUAACAAGACGUUUCGACUAGUUUUCUUCUAGUAUUUCUGGAUUUGUGCAGCCAUAGACUUUGCUCUCUCCAGUGUGAUGUAUCAGUUCCAUGAAAAACAAAAGGAAAACGUUUCAUUGUGGUCUUGCUUCAUGAGUGCUAAGAAGGUUGUCUUUGUCAUUGGUGCUCACAGUGGAUAAAUGUUCAUCUUUUUUGCUGUAUAUAUUAAACAUGACUUAGCAGCCGUGAAGGAAAAUUUUCAUGUGCAUUUGUGAUUAGGUAGAAUACUUUUUUUGAUGACUAUGUAUUUUUAUCUUCCUCUGUUUUUGAGAAAUGCUGGUUAUGCUUGCCUCCUUAGAACAUUCACCUUCCCCACACACUUCUUAUAGAUACCUGAGACGGCAAACAGGAGCAUCCCUGAGAAAAGUAAUCAGAAGAAAGAACAGGGCAUAGGCUCUACCAGUGCUGGCAUCCCACCAAAUAUUGCCUUUAAAGACAACCAACCAUCUACCUAUGUGUGAAAACAGCUGAAGCUAAGGAUGGGAAGAGGAUGGGAAACCUACUGACAUACUUACCUAGUUCUCCUAUUAUAAAAGGGUGUGCUAUAUCUUUGUAUUCUGAAGACUCUGUUUCUGCAUUGAGCUCCAGUGUUUACUUAAUACAACAUCUCUUGAGCAAAAAAGAACCAUGGGCAAUUCAUCAUGGGUCUUCAAUCUUGAAUGACAGUAGUACUUAAAAAGAUGAUAUUCCAAGAGAUCCCCCUUUUAGGAUCUCCAUUCUGCUCAGCAAAGAUUGUAAACACUUUUUCUACACUACAAUGGGUAUUCUGCAUAGGCUAGUUCUCUUAACAAAGUGCUAUUACUUUAGCCUUAUCUGUGCUGGGAAUGAUGGGAAAGGCUCAGAUCGGAGUAGUCAGUUAGCAGGCUUUGUGUGACAGAGUAAACACAGUAGCUUGUGUUUAUCAGCGAUGCUUCCUCAGAAGUGGCCACAAUAUAGACAGUUGCCAGGGGCCAUCACUCCAGAAGCACCCUUUGUAUCAGAUGUCUGAAAGCCUAGGUGUCCUGAAGCUAGACUGGACAGCUGGUGUCUAUACAGUGAAACAUAUUGUCCUUCUGGCACUAAUUAUAGGAAUUUAUGCACGUCUUAGGUGAUGGUUGUCACUGGAACUCACUCUUCAAGUAUAGCCACAGUUGACCUAUACAUGAUGUGAAAGGAAGAUAAGCUCUUCCUCCAUAGUACACUCUAUGUAGGACUGCUUUUUCUGGAUGGCCACAGGGUUGAAAGCAUCCUCUGCCAGUGUUGGUAAGAAGAACCCAUCUUAGAAGGUCCAAGGCCCAUGAGAGUACAUAUGUCUAUGUUAGAGUGCACAGUUGAAAAACGUUCCUAUUGUUGGUAUGGAUAUGUCUUCACAUGCACUUGCUUAUCAUUCCAGUCUGUUACUUUAAGACAAGGAGGUUCUUAGAACAUUUUAAACCUCAAAACCUGAAUAGACAACUUAAGAUUCAAAGAGUGUCAUGACAUUUUAAAAAAAAAUGUGUUAAGUGAUACAAUAAAAAUUGCAGAUUGAUAGAGAUGAA
rnacentral:lncRNA from 1 species